AAGAGCUCGUAGGUGGUUUGUCGCGUUGUUCGUGAAAUCUCACGGCUUAACUGUGAGCGUGCGGGCGAUACGGGCAGACUUGAGUACUGCAGGGGAGACUGGAAUUCCUGGUGUAGCGGUGGAAUGCGCAGAUAUCAGGAGGAACACCGGUGGCGAAGGCGGGUCUCUGGGCAGUAACUGACGCUGAGGAGCGAAAGCGUGGGGAGCGAACAGGAUUAGAUACCCUGGUAGUCCACGCCGUAAACGGUGGGUACUAGGUGUGGGUUUCCUUCCUUGGGAUCCGUGCCGUAGCUAACGCAUUAAGUACCCCGCCUGGGGAGUACGGCCGCAAGGCUAAAACUCAAAGAAAUUGACGGGGGCCCGCACAAGCGGCGGAGCAUGUGGAUUAAUUCGAUGCAACGCGAAGAACCUUACCUGGGUUUGACAUGCACAGGACGCCGGCAGAGAUGUCGGUUCCCUUGUGGCCUGUGUGCAGGUGGUGCAUGGCUGUCGUCAGCUCGUGUCGUGAGAUGUUGGGUUAAGUCCCGCAACGAGCGCAACCCUUGUCUCAUGUUGCCAGCGGGUAAUGCCGGGGACUCGUGAGAGACUGCCGGGGUCAACUCGGAGGAAGGUGGGGAUGACGUCAAGUCAUCAUGCCCCUUAUGUCCGGGGCUUCACACAUGCUACAAUGGCCGGUACAAAGGGCUGCGAUGCCGCGAGGUUAAGCGAAUCCUUUUAAAGCCGGUCUCAGUUCGGAUCGGGGUCUGCAACUCGACCCCGUGAAGUCGGAGUCGCUAGUAAUCGC
rnacentral:rRNA from 1 species